AAACCAACAGGGAUUGCCCUAGUAACGGCGAGUGAAGCGGCAACAGCUCAAAUUUGAAAGCUAGCCUUCGGGUUCGCAUUGUAAUUUGUAGAGGAUGAUUUGGGGAAGCCGCCUGUCUAAGUUCCUUGGAACAGGACGUCAUAGAGGGUGAGAAUCCCGUAUGUGACAGGAAAUGGCACCCUAUGUAAAUCUCCUUCGACGAGUCGAGUUGUUUGGGAAUGCAGCUCUAAAUGGGAGGUAAAUUUCUUCUAAAGCUAAAUAUUGGCGAGAGACCGAUAGCGCACAAGUAGAGUGAUCGAAAGAUGAAAAGCACUUUGGAAAGAGAGUUAAAAAGCACGUGAAAUUGUUGAAAGGGAAGCGCUUGCAAUCAGACUUGUUUAAACUGUUCGGCCGGUCUUCUGACCGGUUUACUCAGUUUGGACAGGCCAGCAUCAGUUUCGGCGGCCGGAUAAAGGCUCUGGGAAUGUGGCCUCCACUUCGGUGGAGGUGUUAUAGCCCGGGGUGUAAUACGGCCAGCCGGGACUGAGGUCCGCGCUUCGGCUAGGAUGCUGGCGUAA
rnacentral:rRNA from 1 species